GUGUCAGCAGCCGCGGUAAUACAGAGGGUGCGAGCGUUGUCCGGAAUCACUGGGCGUAAAGGGCGCGUAGGCGGCUGGGUAAGCGUGUGGUGAAAGUCCGGGGCUCAACCCCGGAUCGGCCAUGCGAACUGUCCAGCUGGAGCACGGUAGAGGCACAUGGAAUUCCGGGUGUAGCGGUGGAAUGCGUAGAGAUCCGGAAGAACACCGGUGGCGAAGGCGGUGUGCUGGGCCGUAGCUGACGCUGAGGCGCGACAGCGUGGGGAGCAAACAGGAUUAGAUACCCCUGUAGUCC
rnacentral:rRNA from 1 species